AUUUCAAUUCCUCAUAGAUAGGCUAAAAAC
rfam:Desulfotomaculum acetoxidans DSM 771, complete genome.